AUUGAACGCUGGCGGCAGGCCUAACACAUGCAAGUCGAGCGAGCGGCGGACGGGUGAGUAAUGUAUGGGGAACUGCCCGAUGGAGGGGGAUAACUACUGGAAACGGUGGCUAAUACCGCAUACUAUCGGAUGAACCCAUAUGGGAUUAGCUAGUAGGUGGGGUAAAGGCUCACCUAGGCGACGAUCCCUAGCUGGUCUGAGAGGAUGAUCAGCCACACUGGAACUGAGACACGGCCCAGACUCCUACGGGAGGCAGCAGUGGGGAAUAUUGCGCAAUGGGCGCAAGCCUGAUGCAGCCAUGCCGCGUGUGUGAAGAAGGCCUUAGGGUUGUAAAGUACUUUCAGCGGGGAAGCGUUACCCGAAGAAGAAGCACCGGCUAACUCCGUGCCAGCAGCCGCGGUAAUUC
rnacentral:rRNA from 1 species